AAACGACUCUCGGCAACGGAUAUCUCGGCUCUCGCAUCGAUGAAGAACGUAGCGAAAUGCGAUACUUGAUGUGAAUUGCAGAAUCCCGUGAACCAUCGAGUCUUUGAACGCAAGUUGCGCCCCAAGCCUUCAGGCCGAGGGCACGUCUGCCUGGGUGUCAC
rnacentral:rRNA from 1 species